GGCGUCAUAGCCAAGUGGUAAGGCAAGGGACUGCAACUCCCUGACUCCCCAGUUCAAAUCUGGGUGACGCCUCCA
rnacentral:tRNA from 1 species